UACGUAGGGCGCAAGCGUUAUCCGGAAUUACUGGGCGUAAAGAGCUCGUAGGCGGUUUGUCGCGUCUGCCGUGAAAGUCCGGGGCUCAACUCCGGAUCUGCGGUGGGUACGGGCAGACUAGAGUGAUGUAGGGGAGACUGGAAUUCCUGGUGUAGCGGUGAAAUGCGCAGAUAUCAGGAGGAACACCGAUGGCGAAGGCAGGUCUCUGGGCAUUAACUGACGCUGAGGAGCGAAAGCAUGGGGAGCAAACGGG
rnacentral:rRNA from 1 species